AUUGAACGCUGGCGGCAGGCCUAACACAUGCAAGUCGAACGAGUGGCGGACGGGUGAGUAAUGUAUGGGGAACUGCCCGAUGGAGGGGGAUAACUACUGGAAACGGUAGCUAAUACCGCAUACCAUCGGAUGAACCCAUAUGGGAUUAGCUAGUAGGUGGGGUAAAGGCUCACCUAGGCGACGAUCCCUAGCUGGUCUGAGAGGAUGACCGGCCACACUGGAACUGCGACACGGCCCAGACUCCUACGGGAGGCAGCAGUGGGGAAUAUUGCACAAUGGGCGCAAGCCUGAUGCAGCCAUGCCGCGUGUGUGAAGAAGGCCUUAGGGUUGUAAAGCACUUUCAGCGGGGAGGCGUUACCCGCAGAAGAAGCACCGGCUAACUCCGUGCCAGCAGCCGCGGUAAUUC
rnacentral:rRNA from 1 species